rnacentral:rRNA from 1 species
UGCCAGCAGCCGCGGUAAUACGGAGGGGGUUAGCGUUGUUCGGAAUUACUGGGCGUAAAGCGCGCGUAGGCGGACUGGUCAGUUGGGGGUGAAAUCCCGGGGCUCAACCUCGGAACUGCCUUCAAUACUACCAGUCUUGAGAUCGAGAGAGGUAAGCGGAAUUCCUAGUGUAGAGGUGAAAUUCGUAGAUAUUAGGAAGAACACCAGUGGCGAAGGCGGCUUACUGGCUCGAUACUGACGCUGAGGCGCGAAAGCGUGGGGGGCGAACAGGAUUAGAUA